rnacentral:rRNA from 1 species
CAGGACGAACGCUGGCGGCGUGCCUAACACAUGCAAGUCGAGCGAGGAGAUCCUCGGGAUGAUCCUAGCGGCGGACGGGUGAGUAACACGUGGGCAACCUGCCUCAUAGAGAGGAAUAGCCUCCCGAAAGGGAGAUUAAUACCUCAUAACAUUGCAGUUUCGCAUGGAACAGCAAUUAAAGGAGCAAUCCGCUAUGAGAUGGGCCCGCGGCGCAUUAGCUAGUUGGUGAGGUAACGGCUCACCAAGGCGACGAUGCGUAGCCGACCUGAGAGGGUGAUCGGCCACAUUGGGACUGAGACACGGCCCAGACUCCUACGGGAGGCAGCAGUGGGGAAUAUUGCACAAUGGGGGAAACCCUGAUGCAGCAACGCCGCGUGAGUGAUGACGGCCUUCGGGUUGUAAAGCUCUGUCUUCAGGGACGAUAAUGACGGUACCUGAGGAGGAAGCCACGGCUAACUACGUGCCAGCCGCCGC